rnacentral:rRNA from 1 species
AGCGAACGCUGGCGGCAGGCUUAACACAUGCAAGUCGAACGGGCAUAGCAAUAUGUCAGUGGCAGACGGGUGAGUAACGCGUGGGAACUUACCUUUUGGUUCGGAACAACACAGGGAAACUUUUGCUAAUACCGGAUAAGCCCUUCCGGGGAAAGAUUUAUCGCCGAAAGAUCGGCCCGCGUCUGAUUAGCUAGUUGGUAGGGUAAUGGCCUACCAAGGCGACGAUCAGUAGCUGGUCUGAGAGGAUGAUCAGCCACAUUGGGACUGAGACACGGCCCAAACUCCUACGGGAGGCAGCAGUGGGGAAUAUUGGACAAUGGGCGAAAGCCUGAUCCAGCCAUGCCGCGUGAGUGAUGAAGGCCCUAGGGUUGUAAAGCUCUUUUGUGCGGGAAGAUAAUGACGGUACCGCAAGAAUAAGCCCCGGCUAACUUCGUG